AUUGAACGCUGGCGGCAUGCCUUACACAUGCAAGUCGAGCGGAGCGGCGGACGGGUGAGUAAUGCCUAGGAACCUGCCCGGUAGCGGGGGAUAACUUCCGGAAACGGUCGCUAAUACCGCAUCCUAUUAGAUGAGCCUAUGUCGGAUUAGCUAGGUGGUGGGGUAAAGGCCUACCAAGGCGACGAUCCGUAACUGGUUUGAGAGGAGAAACAGUCAGACUGGGACUGAGACACGGGCCAGACUCAUACGGAGGGCAGCAGUGGGGAAUAUUGGACAAUGGUCGAAAGCCUGAGCCAGCCAUGCAGCGUGUGUGAGGAAGGUCUUCGGGUUGUAAAGCACUUUGGGCAGGAAAGCGUUGCCAACAGAAUAAGCACCGGCUAACUACGUGCCAGCAGCCGCGGUAAUAC
rnacentral:rRNA from 1 species